UUUUGUUGACAAUAUUACAAACUUCAAGUUGAAGUUUUUUGUUUUCGAAAUUUAAUUAAAAGUUGUUGCUCCCACCUUAAAUUUUCUAUGAUGCAACUUUUGCACUGCUAGCGUAGUAAUUUAUUAGAAAGUUCCGGUUUUUUAAGUACAAUAAGUAAGUAGUCAUAAUUAAGAGCUGUGCUGAAAUUUAAUUUUACCCAUUGUGUGGCUAUAGGGUUCAAUUCUAUAUUGGACGCUUUCGAUUCACCACUUUCUUCCUCGCUUUGAUUGGUCUCUGCUCUUUAUUCAAAAGCUUGGUAUGUGUCAGCAACAACAAAAUUAUCCAACUACAGAUACAAAAGAAGAGAGCACAUGGACAUCUCAUUAAAGUAGUACAAUCGCUGUUCUAUCUUCAUCUGAUAAUGCAAGUCUACUUGAUUAAUACUAGUGUUUGUUCGAUUCGUUAGUCUACAAGUUUAUAAUCAAGAUCCUGAAGAAGUUACACCAAAAAAAUGCAUGAGUAGCUGGAUUAUACAUGAACUUGGUAUAGCUUCGGUCAGGUAAGAUGGCUCAACAUGGCGUGGGAUCACACUAAAACUGUUAUAUACAGUCCUUUGUAAAGCCAAACGAAAAAACACCUGUAGUUGGCUCUCAGCUAAGGAGUCUAGACAUCCUUUCAAAAGUCUUGAGCGCACAGUCUGCGAACUCAAAGCUAACAUCGCUACUUGCUCUACUAUCAGAGUGGAUAAUAUCCCUUUAUACUUUUAUGGCAGCCACCGCCGUUUGGAAGACACUGCAGUGGUCAGGAAUCCUAAAACAAGAGCUGAUAGAAAGUUCCUGAGAGUUUACUUCUUCACUAACCCCUGAACGUGGUAUACUCUCUUAAAUAAACUAAACUCUAAAAUAUUCUAACGGAGUGUUCAAUGGGAGCGCCUAUUUCUUGACAUGAUUUACAAACCAAAAUUUCGUCCCAAUAAAGUGAAGUGAUUCAACUUCUUUUGUUUUUAGUUUUAAAAUAGGUGUUCGAAUCGGCUUUUAAUCCUCUAUUGUCUACACUUUUCUUUUAAAUGAUCCUUUUCUUGAAGUCUGUGGGCCGGAAAAAGUGCCCUACACUGUAGCUGUUUGCUAGCACAUUUCGAUAGCAUAAGAGAGACCUGAAGCUUAUUCUUACAACUUGCGUAGUUAGUAUUGUGUAUCCAACAAAAUUUUCACAGAAAUCCCGGCAAAACAAAACCACUUUCAUUCAGGUCUAACCUUUUUUAAACAAAAUUAUCUCAUAUGUUUUUCGAAAACUUGAAAAAUUGUUUUCAUACCAAAGAAACUAAAAGCAAC